GUGCUAACUUUAGCAGUGCAUAUUCUAAAACUGGAACAUUACAUAGUAGAUGAGUGUGGCCUCUGUGCAAGGAUGACAUGCGAAUUCAUGAAGUGUUCCAUAUUUUU